CAAUCUCCACAAUCCCAGUGAGGUUAUUAUGAAAAGAGCUGAAAGAUAAAGAUUAGGAAUAAAAAUCUGGAGAGUUUUGGGCAUGCUGUGUGUCUCUCUCCCCUCAGAGAGGAAGGGUAAAGAAUGCACUCCAUCUUCAUUUAUGUUCAAGAAAGAGGAUUCAUUAGGAAACAAAAUGGAGAGCUGUUGUUUUCCGACAUUUUUUGGACACAGCAGAAAGAUGUCUGACUUAUGACUGAGACAUCAAAAUGUAUGUAUUAGGGAACAUGAAGAAAAUCUGCAGUUAUCACUAACAGCUGAAGCUGAUGAUAGGCUUGAAUAAAAGAAAUGUAGGAAGCAGUGCAGUUUGCCUCAACAAUAUAAAAACAACCCAAGAAUAUAUCCUCAUAAAGCAUAGGCGUGGACUCUGUUAUUGACUGAGUUGUGUCCUCCCCGAACUUUAUGUUGAAGCCUAACUCCCAAUGUGACUCUACUUGGAGAUAUGCCCUUUAAAGAGGCAUUUUUGGUUAAAUGAGGUUGUACAGGUGAGGCCCUAAUCCAGCAUGACUGGUGUCCUGAUAAGAGGAACAGACACCAAGGGAUGUGCAUACACAGAGGAAAAGGACAUGUGAAGACAUGACAAGACAAGAGGCAUCUGCACGUCAAGGAGAGAGGCCCCCAGAGAAACCACACCUGCCAACACCCUCCUGAAAUUAAACUUCAAAACUGUGAGAAAUACAUUUCUGUUUCUUAAGCCACCCAGUAUUUAGUAUUUUGUUAUGGCAUCUCUAACCAGAACCCUGACUAAUGCAGACCCUAAUAAUGGGCAUCAACAAAUUAAGAUUUGUAUAUGGAUUAUAUGAUGAGUUUUUGUUCUGCCAUUAAUUACCAGAGUGAUUUAUGGGAAGGUAUUUAAUCUCUAUGGGUCAUAUUUUCCUGACCUUUGAUGAAGGAUGAAAAAAGAACUAAAAAAAUCUGUAAAAUAGACACAAGUUUAAAUGUAAUGGUAAUAAAGACAUUCCCAAUUAUGCCAACCAACU
rnacentral:lncRNA from 10 species